rnacentral:rRNA from 1 species
UACAGAGGUCCCAAGCGUUGUUCGGAUUCACUGGGCGUAAAGGGUGCGUAGGCGGCGCGGUAAGUCGGGGGUGAAAUCUCGGAGCUUAACUCCGAAACUGCAUUCGAUACUGCCGUGCUUGAGGACUGGAGAGGAGACUGGAAUUUACGGUGUAGCGGUGAAAUGCGUAGAUAUCGUAAGGAAGACCAGUGGCGAAGGCGGGUCUCUGGACAGUUCCUGACACUGAGGCACGAAGGCCAGGGGAGCAAACGGG